rnacentral:rRNA from 1 species
CGACGACGCAACGCCGCGUGGAGGAUGAAGACCUUCGGGUCGUAAACUCCUUUCGACCGAGAUGAAUACCUGCCGACCUAACACGUCGGCAGGCUGACAGGUAUCGAGGGAAGAAGCCCCGGCUAACUCCGUGCCAGCAGCCGCGGUAAUACGGGGGGGGCAAGCGUUGUUCGGAAUUACUGGGCGUAAAGGGUUCGUAGGUGGCCGGCUAAGUCAGACGUGAAAUCCCUCAGCUUAACUGGGGAACUGCGUCUGAGACUGGUCGGCUUGAGUGCAGGAGAGGAACGCGGAAUUCCAGGUGUAGCGGUGAAAUGCGUAGAUAUCUGGAGGAACACCGGUGGCGAAGGCGGCGUUCUGGACUGCAACUGACACUGAGGAACGAAAGCCAGGGGAGCAAACGGGAUUAGAUACCCCGGUAGUCCUGGCCCUAAACGAUGAAUGCUUGGUGUGGCGGGUAUCGAUCCCUGCCGUGCCGCAGUUAACGCGUUAAGCAUUCCGCCUGGGGAGUACGGUCGCAAGGCUG